rnacentral:rRNA from 1 species
AUUGAACGCUGGCGGCAGGCCUAACACAUGCAAGUCGAGCGGAUGAAGGGAGCUUGCUCCUGGAUUCAGCGGCGGACGGGUGAGUAAUGCCUAGGAAUCUGCCUGGUAGUGUGGGAAAACGUCCGGAAACGGGCGCUAAUACCGCAUACGUCCUGAGGGAGAAAGUGUGGGAUCUUCGGACCUCACGCUAUCAGAUGAGCCUAGGUCGGAUUAGCUAGUUGGUGGGGUAAAGGCCUACCAAGGCGACGAUCCGUAACUGGUCUGAGAGGAUGAUCAGUCACACUGGAACUGAGACACGGUCCAGACUCCUACGGGAGGCAGCAGUGGGGAAUAUUGGACAAUGGGCGAAAGCCUGAUCCAGCCAUGCCGCGUGUGUGAAGAAGGUCUUCGGAUUGUAAAGCACUUUAAGUUGGGAGGAAGGGCAGUAAGUUAAUACCUUGCUGUUUUGACGUUACCAACAGAAUAAGCACCGGCUAACUUCGUG